rnacentral:rRNA from 1 species
UACGAAGGGGGCUAGCGUUGUUCGGAAUUACUGGGCGUAAAGCGUGCGCAGGCGGCUUCUCAAGUCAGGGGGUGAAAGCCCAGAGCUCAACUCUGGAAUUGCCUUUGAGACUGAGUGGCUUGAGUACGAGAGAGGUGAGUGGAAUUCCCAGUGUAGAGGUGAAAUUCGUAGAUAUUGGGAAGAACACCCGUGGCGAAGGCGGCACUCUGGGACGGUACUGACGCUGAGACGGCGAAAGCGUGGGGAGCGAACAGG